rnacentral:lncRNA from 1 species
CCCCUGGCCAGAUGUGUUGCAUAACUGGUGUGAUUUAACAAGAAAACACACACACACACACACACACACACACCACCAUCCAACAACCGUUUCCAGUAUCAGCCCCUGUCCUCUCUCUCUCUCUCUCUACUUCCAUUACAGGAGAGUUAUUCCCCAACAGUGGGCUACAUUCAUCUGAGAAUGCUGCUGUGGGGUGAGGAAUUUGGACAUGACCACAAAGGCUUCAUUAUUCUGCUGCUGUGCGUUUGAAGAUACUAGAGGAGAGGCAGGAGUAGAGAGUUAGGCAAGGAGAGGCAUGAGAGGAGAGGUAGGAGAGUUGAAGGAGGAGAGGUAGGAGAGUUGAAGGGGGAGAGGUAGGAGAGUUGAGGGAGGAGAGGUAGGAGAGUUGAGGGAGGAGAGGUAAGAGAGUUGAGGGAGGAGAGGUAAGAGAGGAAAGGUAGGAGAGGUAGGAGGGGAAAGGUAAGAUAGGAGAGGUAGGAGAGUUGAGGGAGGAGAGAUAGGAGAGGAAAGGUAGGAGAGGAGAGGUAGGAAAGGCAUGAGAGGAGAAGUAGGAGAGUUGAGGGAGGAGAGUUGAUGGAGGAGAGAUAGGAGAGUUGAUGGAAUAGAGAUAGCAGAGAUGAGGUAGGAGAGUUGAGGGAGGAGAGGUAGGAGAGAAAAGGUAAGGGAGGAGAGGUAGGAGAGUUGAAGGAGGAGAGGCAUGAGAGGAGAGGGAGGAGAGGCAUGAGAGGAGAGGGAGGAGAGGAGAGGGAGGAGAGGUAGAUGAGGAGUGGUAGGAGAGUUGAGAGAGGAGAGGUAGGAAAGGCAUGAGAGAAGAGGUAGGAGAGCUGAGGGAGGAGAGCUGAUGGAGGAGAGAUAAGGGAGUUGAGGGAGGAGAGGCAGGAGAAGAGAGGUAGGAGAGGAAUGAGAGGAGAGGUAGGAGAGUUGAGGGAGGAGAGGUAGGAGAGUUGAGUGAGGAGAGGUGAGGGAGGAGAGGUAGGAGAGGAAAGGUAGGAGAGGAGAGGUAGGAGAGUUGAUGGAGGAGAGGUAGAAGAGUUGAGGGAGGAAAGGUAGGAGAGG